UCCUUUCCUUUCUCCUUCCUGGCUGUGAGGAUGAAGCCCCAGGAGUAUGAGAUCUGUUAGGUGCUGGUUUUUCUCAAGACUAGUGGUUGGAGGAUUCCCACUACGGCUGUGCUGCUGGGUCUUUUCCUCAGGUGUUUACUACUUUAGCGGUUUCCAGCAGUGAUCACUGAGAGGGCACGUUGUUUCAGGCGUGCUGGUAAGUAGUGGAAGUAAGAAGACCUUCGGGUCUAACUAUCCUCCUCCCUUAUCGGUAAGUGUUUGGUCCUCUUUCCCCAGAUGUGGGUUGCACAUUUGGUAUAAUUAUUUUGGUGUGGGCUUUACCUUUUUAUACGUAAAGUCGUUACCCUGGCGAUUCACACAGCUCAAUCAUCUUUGAUUUCAGCCCCGAUUCCUGAGCAGAU